GUAUUAAACUGUAGUAACUCCAAAUCAGAAGGCUACUUAUCAGACAAGAGCUUUUGCUUGUUUAGCGGACACCCCCCAAAAAAAAUCCUUGUCCUUUCCUGUUAUUUUUCCUAGUCACGUAAGUUGUUUGUUUGUACAGAAGAGACAAGAAAAGGAUCGAGAAGAAUCCCCUCCUGUCCCCCUGUUUGUUUAACCAAGUUCUUUAAUGAUCCCUCCGCAGGUUCACCUACGGAGA
rnacentral:misc_RNA from 1 species